GUGGGGAAUCUUGCGCAAUGGGCGAAAGCCUGACGCAGCCAUGCCGCGUGAAUGAUGAAGGUCUUAGGAUUGUAAAAUUCUUUCACCGGGGACGAUAAUGACUGUAGCCGGAGAAGAAGCCCCGGCUAACUUCGUGCCAGCAGCCGCGGUAAUACGAAGGGGGCUAGCGUUGCUCGGAUUUACUGGGCGUAAAGGGCGCGUAGGCGGACAUUUAAGUCAGGGGUGAAAUCCCGGGGCUCAACCUCGGAACUGCCUUUGAUACUGGGUGUCUUGAGUAUGAGAGAGGUGUGUGGAACUCCGAGUGUAGAGGUGAAAUUCGUAGAUAUUCGGAAGAACACCAGUGGCGAAGGCGACACACUGGCUCAUUACUGACGCUGAGGCGCGAAAGCGUGGGGAGCAAACAGGAUUAGAAACCCGUGUAGUCC
rnacentral:rRNA from 1 species